GACUGGAACUGCCAUGUAGGUAGCCUAGGCACAGUAAGAGGACUCCCACCGUCACUACUUGCUCAUCUUUUGCUUUCCUCAAAUAUUCCAGGCUCUUUGGUACAUUUGAUUCCAUGUUUGUGAACCCCAAGUCUUGAAUAAGGCCCCAAUUAAUGGGACUAUUUAUAUAAAGGACACCCAUGAACUUCUCACCCUUCAUGCCAUUGACAUUAAACUGC
rnacentral:lncRNA from 1 species